UCCGGUUUGACACCGGCAGUCUCCCUAGAGUGCCCGGCUUUACCCGCUGGUAACUAGGGACGAGGGUUGCGCUCGUUGCGGGACUUAACCCAACAUCUCACGACACGAGCUGACGACAGCCAUGCAGCACCUGUGCACGCUGGUAUUGCUACCUCGUCAGGCUUUCACCCUUCUACUACGUGCAUGUCAAGGCCAGGUAAGGUUCUUCGCGUUGCAUCGAAUUGAGCCACAUACUCCACCGCUUGUGCAGGCCCCCGUCAAUUCCUUUGAGUUUUAGUCUUGCGACCGUACUUCCCAGGCGGAGUGCUUAAUGCGUUAGCUUCGGCACCGCGGGGGUCAAUACCCACGACACCUAGCACUCAUCGUUUACGGCGUGGACUAC
rnacentral:misc_RNA from 1 species